AACGAACGGUAGCGGCGUGGAUUAGGCAUGCAAGUCGUACGGGCAAGGUUUUCGGAUCUUGCCAGUGGCGAAAGGGUGAGUAAUGCAUAGUCAACCAACCCUGGGUCCGUGGGAGUAACUGCGGGAAACGUGCAGCUAAUACCGGAUAGGUUGAUGAGGGCGGAUGCCUUUAUUCAAUAAAGAGGGCCGUCUUAACAAUGCUCUCGACCGAGGACGGGGCGUAUGUCCU
rnacentral:rRNA from 1 species